GAUAAACGCUGGCGGCGUGCCUUACGCAUGCAAGUCGAACGCACCCUUCGGGUGAGUGGCGGACGGGUGAGUAACACGUACGUGAUCUGUCCCGAACGUGGGGGAUAACCGACCCGAAAGGGUGGCUAAUACCGCAUGUCGGUCCCCGGUUUGCGAACCGGGGAGUAAAGCUCCGGCGGUUCGGGAGGAGCGUGCGGCCGAUUAGCUAGUUGGUGGGGUAACGGCCUACCAAGGCAGCGAUCGGUAGCUGGUCU
rnacentral:rRNA from 1 species